rnacentral:ncRNA from 1 species
CAAAUGGCAAUGACGAGAUAAGUAAAAUGUCAAGCGUGCAAAGAGAGUCGACAUUUGGUGCAAGUCGAUCACGCAAGGCGUUCGAAAAUGGUCUUCGAGCCAGUGAUUCGGCGAACAAGUUGCAAGCCGUGUCCGGGAGCGCCCGUUAAAGCGCUAAGGUAUCUGUGUCAGUGUGGCCACAUGUACCUGAUGAGUGGUCGUUAGCGAUAACGAUCAAAACAACGGGUGGUAACACGACAUGUCGUCCCGGAU